AUUCCUAGCUGGGGUCACAGGGAACCAACCAGUCUUCAUGUUGGAAAAAAAUGCAAUUUGGAGUAUCCACAAAACCUCCAGCGCCAAUAUCAAGGAGAUUGUAAAGAAGAUGACCCUGAACUUGGAGUAUUUGAAGGGAUGAAGACCCCACAGAUUGGAAUAUAGCGGCUCUCCCACCUUGAAUGCCUGCUGUUCCUCAGCCUGUCUCCCUCUCCAGCAUCUGAGUACCUCUGUGUCCUGCCCCCAACCCCCGCUCCUUCAAACUCAGCACUUUGGAAUCUCUCUCUCUCUAUCAGCAAAAGACAUGACACCCCAAUAAUAUUGAUCCAGAUCAC
rnacentral:lncRNA from 1 species